rnacentral:rRNA from 1 species
AACGAACGCUGGCGGCGUGGAUUAGGCAUGCAAGUCGAACGAGAAAGGUUCCUUCGGGAACCGAGUACAGUGGCAAACGGGUGAGUAACGCGUGGGAAACCUGCCCUUCAGUUGGGGACAACACUCCUAACGGGGUGCUAAUACCGGAUACCAUCGCGGAAUCGCAUGAUUCUGUGAUGAAAGGCGGCCUCUGCUUGCAAGCUGUCGCUGAAGGAUGGUCCCGCGUCCCAUUAGCUAGUUGGUGAGGUAACGGCUCACCAAGGCUACGAUGGGUAGCCGGCCUUAGCGGGUGACCGGCCACACUGGGAUUGAGAUACGGCCCAGACUCCUACGGGAAGGCAG